rnacentral:rRNA from 1 species
UACGGAGGGUGCAAGCGUUAUCCGGAUUCACUGGGUUUAAAGGGUGCGUAGGUGGGCAGGUAAGUCAGUGGUGAAAUCCUGUAGCUUAACUACAGAACUGCCAUUGAUACUAUUUGUCUUGAAUACCCUGGAGGUGAGCGGAAUAUGUCAUGUAGCGGUGAAAUGCUUAGAUAUGACAUAGAAUAUCUAUUGCGAAGGCAGCUCACUACGGGAAUAUUGACGCUGAGGCACGAAAGCGUGGGGAUCAAACAGG